CCUACGGGUGGCAGCAGUGGGGAAUAUUGGGCAAUGGGCGAAAGCCUGACCCAGCAACGCCGCGUGAAGGAAGAAGGCUUUCGGGUUGUAAACUUCUUUUGACAGGGAAGAGCAGAAGACGGUACCUGUCGAAUAAGCCACGGCUAACUACGUGCCAGAAGCCGCGGUAAUACGUAGGUGGCAAGCGUUGUCCGGAUUUACUGGUGGGAAAGGGCGUGUAGCCGGGCUUACAAGUCAGAUGUGAAAUCCGGGGGCUCAACCCCCGAAAUGCAUUUGAAACUGUUGGUUUUGAGUAGCGGAGAGGCAGGCGGAAUUCCUAGUGUAGCGGUGACAUGCGUAGAUAUUAGGAAGAACACCAGUGGCGAAGGUGGCCUGCUGGACGACAACUGACGGUGAGGCGCGAAAGCGUGGGGAGCAAACAGGAUUAGAUACCCUUGUAGUC
rnacentral:rRNA from 1 species